rnacentral:rRNA from 1 species
CCCUUAGAGUUUGAUCCUGGCUCAGGAUGAACGCUGGCGGCGUGCCUAACACAUGCAAGUCGAACGAAGCAAUUGAAGGAAGUUUUCGGAUGGAAUUCGAUUGACUGAGUGGCGGACGGGUGAGUAACGCGUGGAUAACCUGCCUCACACUGGGGGAUAACAGUUAGAAAUGACUGCUAAUACCGCAUAAGCGCACAGUACCGCAUGGUACAGUGUGAAAAACUCCGGUGGUGUGAGAUGGAUCCGCGUCUGAUUAGCCAGUUGGCGGGGUAGCGGCCCACCAAAGCGACGAUCAGUAGCCGACCUGAGAGGGUGACCGGCCACAUUGGGACUGAGACACGGCCCAAACUCCUACGGGAGGCAGCAGUGGGGAAUAUUGCACAAUGGGCGAAAGCCUGAUGCAGCGACGCCGCGUGAGUGAAGAAGUAUUUCGGUAUGUAAAGCUCUAUCAGCAGGGAAGAA